rnacentral:misc_RNA from 1 species
CGUCGCAGCGCGGGAGGCUGGCGGAGAGAGCCUCGAGCGGGAGGCGCUGGUGCUUGCUGGCGAGCUUGUUGGCGGCGUGGAUCUCGACGUCGCAGCGCGCGCACAGCGCGGCCUCGUCGGCGCAGCACACCACGGUGGCAGCCGCGCCCUCGCACGCGUCGCACUGGAUCUUCAUGGCCGCUCCACCUCUCUGUCUGCGGUCUAUACUCCCAGGCCCAGCUCGCUAUCCUGUCCUGUCGUCUCGCAAGUCGCAACAACGAGGGAGGCAAGGACGAACAAGAUAAGGCCACCGACUGCGAUGGAGGAGGACGAGCUUGCGCGCGCGAGCACGCAACUGGAGCAAUCAGUGAGCUGCCGCUGCCGGGCGAGCUUGUGGUGGAG